rnacentral:lncRNA from 1 species
AAAAGGAAAUGCCUCCUCCUUAGACUCCAUGAAGAAAACCCAUGAAUACCUCGAGAAAUCAUCAACGACCACAAGCACAUACCACUUCCCACCAACUGAGCAAACACAAGCUGGACCAACAGUGUCCAUAUGCAAUAGCUCACACGGAUGCUCAGUCAUCACCUGAUUCACAGGUGGAUGGGAAGCAACAACCAUUUUCCCAUGUCGAAAGGGAGCACAAAC